AUAGAGAGAGAGGAGAGUAAUAGAGAGAGAGGGAUAGUAAUAGAGAGAGAGGAUAGUGAUAGAGAGAGAGGGGAUAUAAUAGAGAGAGAGGAUAGUAAUAGAGAGAGUGGAUAGUAAUAGAGAGAGAGGAUAGUGAUAGAGAGAGAGGGGAUAGUAAUGUAGAGAGAGGAUAGUAAUAGAGAGUCUGGGGAUAGUAAUAGAGAGAGAGGAUAGUAAUGGAGAGAGGGAUAGUAAUAUAGAGAGAGCAAAUGUUAUAGAGGGAAAGGGAUAGUAAUGUUGAGAGGGGAUAGUAGUAGAGAGAGAGGGAUAGUAAUAGAGAGAGAGGGAUAGUAAUAGAGAGAGAGGGGAUAGUAAUAGAGAGAGGGAUAGUAAUAGAGAGAGAGGUGGGAUAGUAAUAAAGAGAUAGGGAUAGUAAUAGAGAGAGGGAUAGUAAUGUAGAAAGGGGAUAGUAAUAGAGAGAGAGGAUAGUAAUAGAGAGAGAGGAUAGUAAUAGAGAGAGAGGGAUAGUAAUAGAGAGAGAGGGAUAGUAAUAGAGAGAGAGGGAUAGUAAUAGAGAGAGAGG
rnacentral:lncRNA from 1 species